rfam:Triticum aestivum genome assembly, contig: Triticum_aestivum_CS42_TGACv1_scaffold_272024_3DS
AAUGUACUCCCUCCGUCCGGAGAUACUUGUCAUUAAAAUGAAUAAAAGAGGAUGUAUAUAGAUGUAUUUUAGUUCUAGAUACAUCCCUUUUUAUCAAUUUUGAUGACAAGUAUUUCCGGACGGAGGGAGUAUAAA